AUGGGCAGCGAGUUUGGGAAUCGGACGUAGAUGCAACAUGUGAUCUCCUACAGCUUGUCACCUUUUGAGCAGCGUGCCUCCCCGUACUACUUCCGUAAAGGAAUCCCCAACGUGCUGCGCCGCACUCGGCAGUCUUUCCUUCGCGUAAUGCCGCCGUUUGUAGUGUUUUAUCUUAUCUAUACAUGGGGGACUCAAGAGUUUGAGAGAUCCAAGGGGAAGAAUCCAGCUGCCCAUGAAAAUGACAAAUGA
rnacentral:lncRNA from 1 species